UUUUUAUUAAGUACAAAAAAUACGGUAGAUACCUUUCCAAAAUAAUGGAAUUAACGAGUUGGAAUGAACUAUCCAAUAUCUUAGACGAGAAUCAUAAGUUAAGAAUGAUUAUUUAUCUGGAACAAAAACUGCUUCCAGAACAAGAAUUUGGAAUGCAUAGCGAAUUUUUUAGCUCAGUUCUGAUUUAUGAAUGGGGGUUGCGUGUUUUCAUGAAAAUACAUAAUUUUUCAAACCGACAAGAUGCUCUAGAACACAUCAGGUUGCAGGAAGAUAUGGUCAUUUACGAACGUGACUAAGUGUAAGUCCAAUGUAUCGGGCCACGGUCCAUUUGCCUUAUCCUCAGAGGCGUAGGAGAUGUUUCCCGCGGCUCUGCACAUGACUAAUAAUAUGGAAAUAUUUAAAUCAAUUUCAUCAGUAUUCGUCUUCAUCGCUGCGGCUUCUAGUACGAUCUAGCUCCGAUGUUUUGUAUAUUGCCUCCAGUGGUCUUAUUAUUAAUAUUAUUACCAAUAAAAAAAUACAAAAUUGAUGCGAUGAACAAAAUGUAUUGGGUCUAUUUCACACCAUACCGAAAUGAUCAAAUAUGACCGAUCUUGAACAUGGCAUAUCUGUAUACAAAAGCAGCAUUUUUGAUUUGUUGUUUAGAAUAGUAUGUUAAUAAUCGAAAGGGGUGAAAUGUAUUUAUAUCAGCUUUUGUUUUCUAACUCUUAGUUAUUCGCAAUCUCUUUCCAAAGACUCAUAUAAAUAUC